UACGGCAAUAUCUUGUUGAAACAGUGGGUUUCGUACGAUCACCAUAGUUAAGCAGCGUCGAGUCUGGUCAGUAUCUAGAUGGGUGACCACUUGGGAAUACUUGGA